GCGAGCCUGAGGGGAUCUUGGGCGGUGAGCUGCCGUGGGAGCUCGCUACGGACUGACUGGAGGAAGUACCAGGCUUAGGUCUCUUCUGUCUCUGCUUCCUGGCUGUCACGUGGUAAAUUGCUGUGCUCCCCACCAUAGUGUCUGCAUCGCCACAGAAGAAAUGGAGCCAAGUGACCCUGGGCUAAACCCUCUAAACUGCCAUCUCUUCAGUGAAGAGAUCUUCUAAUCUCUUGACCCAGCAUCAUGAAAUAUGGGACACUGUGUAGCUGAGGUAUUGGCUGGAACAUACGGAGGCCUGACACCAGCAAGCUGUUGGGAAGAACUCAUCCUUUGGGAUGGAGCCUGGAUGUGCUGCGAACCUGUUACAGAGUCCCAUGGUUCUGCUCAUUCCGAAAGCAAAGCCAUACGUGAACAUUCUGUCUUGCUCCUUCAGCAGUUACAAAUAACUUGACUGCUUUUCCAAAGAUGAAACAAGAUUCUGAAGGUGAAAUAUUCCGUCCAGUUUGCCCUCAGUGGAAGGAGAUCCCAGAAACAUCGUCUUUUGUGAGUAGACACUGUUGACUGUGUACCCACACCCG